rnacentral:rRNA from 1 species
AGAGUUUGAUCCUGGCUCAGAUUGAACGCUGGCGGCAGGCCUCAUACAUGCAAGUCGAACGAGAAAGUAUCUUCGGAUACGAGUACAGUGGCGGACGGGUGAGUAAUACAUAGGAAUCUACCCAAUGGAGGGGGAUAGCUCGAGGAAACUCGAAUUAAUACCGCAUAAUCUCCACGGAGUAAAGAGGGCUUCGGCUCUCGCCAUCGGAUGAGCCUAUGCAGGAUUAGCUUGUUGGUGAGGUAAAGGCUUACCAAGGCGACGAUCCUUAGCUGGUUUGAGAGGAUGACCAGCCACAUCGGGACUGAGACACGGCCCGGACUUCUACGGAAGGCAGCAGUAGGGAAUAUUGGACAAUGAGCGAAAGCUUGAUCCAGCCAUGCCGCGUGUGCGAUGACGGCCCUCGGGUUGUAAAGCACUUUAGGUAACGAGGAAAAGUUAGGUGUUAAUACCAUCUAACCUUGACGUUAAUUACAGAAUAAGCACCGGCUAAAUCCGUGCCAGCAGCCGCGGUAAUUCA